GGUCAGGUCCCAACAAAUUCUUUCUUCAAAACCGAGUCAGGCCGGAAGGAGCAGCUCUAUGAUGUUAAGAAUUGUGUCUGGUAAACCUGACCUUU
rnacentral:SRP_RNA from 1 species